UCGUGCUAGGCGGGGAGAUAGCGGUGCCCUGAACUCGCAAUCCGCUCUAGCGAGGCUGAAUUCCUCCCUGAGGUCUUCUUUGCGCAGCCUCUGUUGGCGGUUUCUGAUGUUGAGAGUUGGGUCCUGCGCGGCGGAAGCCUGCGAACUCCGUCAGGUUCGGAAGAAAGCAGCGGUAAGUGGUAACUUUCGUGCGCCGCGGGUCCACCUGACUUGAGUUGGAGCCGCCGAAAAUGCCGGCGGAAGGGAUCGAAGGGCGGUGCACGG
rnacentral:SRP_RNA from 2 species